AAUUCCCUAACCUAAUAGGAGCCA
rnacentral:siRNA from 1 species